rnacentral:rRNA from 1 species
UACGUAGGGUGCAGGCGUUAAUCGGAAUUACUGGGCGUAAAGCGUGCGCAGGCGGUUUGCUAAGAGAGAUGUGAAAUCCCCGGGCUUAACCUGGGAACUGCGUUUCUAACUGGCAGGCUUGAGUGUGGCAGAGGGGGGUGGAAUUCCACGUGUAGCAGUGAAAUGCGUAGAUAGUCUGGAGGAACACCGGUGGCGAAGGCGGCAUCCGUGGACCGGUAUUGACGGCUGAGGC